rnacentral:rRNA from 1 species
UAGGGAAUAUUAGUAAUGGGCGAAAGCCUGAACUAGCAACGCCGCGUGUGCGAAGAAGGCCUUCGGGUUGUAAAGCACUUUUUGAGAGGAUGAGGAAGGACGGUACUCUCAGAAUAAGUCUCGGCUAACUACGUGCCAGCAGCCGCGGUAACACGUAGGAGGCGAACGUUAUCCGGAUUUACUGGGUGUAAAGCGCGUGCAGGCGGUUUGCUAAGUUGGGUGUGAAAGCUCCUGGCUCAACUGGGAGAGGUCGCUCAAGACUGGCAGACUGGAGAGCAGUAGGGGAAGGUGGAAUUCCGGGUGUAGUGGUGAAAUGCGUAGAUAUCCGGAGGAACACCAGUGGCGAAAGCGGCCUUCUAGACUGCAUCUGACGCUCAGACGCGAAAGCUAGGGUAGCAAACGG